UUGUCCUACGGGCCGCAGCAGUGAGGUAUAUUGGUUUUUGGGGGAGCGCCUGAACCAGCCAAGUCGCGUGAGGGAGUACUGCCCUAUGGGUUGUAAACCUCUUUUGUCGGGGAGCAAAAGCCGGACGUGUCCGGCUGUGAGAGUACCCGAAGAAAAAGCAUCGGCUAACUCCGUGCCAGCAGCCGCGGUAAUACGGAGGAUGCGAGCGUUAUCCGGAUUUAUUGGGUUUAAAGGGUGCGCAGGCGGAUUUUUAAGUCAGCGGUCAAAUCGUGGGGCUCAACCCCAUCCAGCCGUUGAAACUGGGG
rnacentral:rRNA from 1 species